UUAAGUUAUUAAGGGCGCACGGUGGAUGCCUUGGCACUAGAAGCCGAUGAAGGACGUUACUAACGACGAUAUGCUUUGGGGAGCUGUAAGUAAGCUUUGAUCCAGAGAUUUCCGAAUGGGGAAACCCAGCAUGAGUUAUGUCAUGUUAUCGAUAUGUGAAUACAUAGCAUAUCAGAAGGCACACCCGGAGAACUGAAACAUCUUAGUACCCGGAGGAAGAGAAAGAAAAUUCGAUUCCCUUAGUAGCGGCGAGCGAAACGGGAAGAGCCCAAACCAACAAGCUUGCUUGUUGGGGUUGUAGGACACUCUAUACGGAGUUACAAAGGACGACAUUAGACGAAUCAUCUGGAAAGAUGAAUCAAAGAAGGUAAUAAUCCUGUAGUCGAAAAUGUUGUCUCUCUUGAGUGGAUCCUGAGUACGACGGAGCACGUGAAAUUCCGUUGGAAUCUGGGAGGACCAUCUCCUAAGGCUAAAUACUCUCUAGUGACCGAUAGUGAACCAGUACCGUGAGGGAAAGGUGAAAAGCACCCCGGAAGGGGAGUGAAAUAGAACCUGAAACCGUGUGCUUACAAGUAGUCAGAGCCCGUUAAUGGGUGAUGGCGUGCCUUUUGUAGAAUGAACCGGCGAGUUACGAUUUGAUGCAAGGUUAAGCAGUAAAUGUGGAGCCGUAGCGAAAGCGAGUCUGAAUAGGGCGUUUAGUAUUUGGUCGUAGACCCGAAACCAGGUGAUCUACCCUUGGUCAGGUUGAAGUUCAGGUAACACUGAAUGGAGGACCGAACCGACUUACGUUGAAAAGUGAGCGGAUGAACUGAGGGUAGCGGAGAAAUUCCAAUCGAACCUGGAGAUAGCUGGUUCUCUCCGAAAUAGCUUUAGGGCUAGCCUCAAGUGAUGAUUAUUGGAGGUAGAGCACUGUUUGGACGAGGGGCCCCUCUCGGGUUACCGAAUUCAGACAAACUCCGAAUGCCAAUUAAUUUAACUUGGGAGUCAGAACAUGGGUGAUAAGGUCCGUGUUCGAAAGGGAAACAGCCCAGACCACCAGCUAAGGUCCCAAAAUAUAUGUUAAGUGGAAAAGGAUGUGGCGUUGCCCAGACAACUAGGAUGUUGGCUUAGAAGCAGCCAUCAUUUAAAGAGUGCGUAAUAGCUCACUAGUCGAGUGACACUGCGCCGAAAAUGUACCGGGGCUAAACAUAUUACCGAAGCUGUGGAUUGUCCUUUGGACAAUGGUAGGAGAGCGUUCUAAGGGCGUUGAAGCAUGAUCGUAAGGACAUGUGGAGCGCUUAGAAGUGAGAAUGCCGGUGUGAGUAGCGAAAGACGGGUGAGAAUCCCGUCCACCGAUUGACUAAGGUUUCCAGAGGAAGGCUCGUCCGCUCUGGGUUAGUCGGGUCCUAAGCUGAGGCCGACAGGCGUAGGCGAUGGAUAACAGGUUGAUAUUCCUGUACCACCUAUAAUCGUUUUAAUCGAUGGGGGGACGCAGUAGGAUAGGCGAAGCGUGCGAUUGGAUUGCACGUCUAAGCAGUAAGGCUGAGUAUUAGGCAAAUCCGGUACUCAUUAAGGCUGAGCUGUGAUGGGGAGAAGACAUUGUGUCUUCGAGUCGUUGAUUUCACACUGCCGAGAAAAGCCUCUAGAUAGAAAAUAGGUGCCCGUACCGCAAACCGACACAGGUAGUCAAGAUGAGAAUUCUAAGGUGAGCGAGCGAACUCUCGUUAAGGAACUCGGCAAAAUGACCCCGUAACUUCGGGAGAAGGGGUGCUCUUUAGGGUUAACGCCCAGAAGAGCCGCAGUGAAUAGGCCCAAGCGACUGUUUAUCAAAAACACAGGUCUCUGCUAAACCGUAAGGUGAUGUAUAGGGGCUGACGCCUGCCCGGUGCUGGAAGGUUAAGAGGAGUGGUUAGCUUCUGCGAAGCUACGAAUCGAAGCCCCAGUAAACGGCGGCCGUAACUAUAACGGUCCUAAGGUAGCGAAAUUCCUUGUCGGGUAAGUUCCGACCCGCACGAAAGGCGUAACGAUUUGGGCACUGUCUCAACGAGAGACUCGGUGAAAUCAUAGUACCUGUGAAGAUGCAGGUUACCCGCGACAGGACGGAAAGACCCCGUGGAGCUUUACUGUAGCCUGAUAUUGAAAUUCGGCACAGCUUGUACAGGAUAGGUAGGAGCCUUUGAAACGUGAGCGCUAGCUUACGUGGAGGCGCUGGUGGGAUACUACCCUAGCUGUGUUGGCUUUCUAACCCGCACCACUUAUCGUGGUGGGAGACAGUGUCAGGCGGGCAGUUUGACUGGGGCGGUCGCCUCCUAAAAGGUAACGGAGGCGCUCAAAGGUUCCCUCAGAAUGGUUGGAAAUCAUUCAUAGAGUGUAAAGGCAUAAGGGAGCUUGACUGC
rnacentral:rRNA from 1 species